GAUGAACGCUAGCUACAGGCUUAACACAUGCAAGUCGAGGGGAAACGAUAUUGGAAGCUUGCUUCCGAUAGGCGUCGACCGGCGCACGGGUGAGUAACGCGUAUCCAACCUCCCCAUCACUUGGGGAUAACCUUGCGAAAGUAAGUCUAAUCCCCAAUGACGUCUCUAGAAGACAUCUGAAAGAGAUUAAAGAUUUAUCGGUGAUGGAUGGGGAUGCGUCUGAUUAGCUUGUUGGCGGGGUAACGGCCGACCAAGGCGACGAUCAGUAGGGGUUCUGAGAGGAAGGUCCCCCACAUUGGAACUGGGACACGGUCCAAACUCCUACGGGAGGCAGCAGUGAGGAGUAUUGGUCAAUGGGCGAGAGCCUGAACCAGCCAAGUAGCGUGGAGGAUGACGGCCCUAUGGGUUGUAAACUGCUUUUAUAAGGGAAUAAAGUGAGCCACGUGUGGCUUUUUGCAGGUACCUUAUGAAUAAGGACCGGCUAAUUCCGUGCCAGCCGCCGCUGUAA
rnacentral:rRNA from 1 species